AACUGGGGCUAAUACCGGAUAGAGCAUCGGUUGCUGGAAUGCACGAUGGUCUAAAGCUGAGGCGCCCAAGGAUAGGUCUGCGGCCGAUUAGGUUGUUGUUGAUGUGACGGAUCAACAAGCCUACGAUCGGUACGGGUUGUGAGAGCAAUAGCCCGGAGAUGGGCUCUGAGAGAAGAACCCAGGUCCUACGGGACGCAUCAGGCGCGAAAACUUUACAAUGUGCGAAAGCACGAUAAGGGAACUCUGAGUGCCUCCUAAGGAGGCUGUUCGGGUGUCUAAAAAGCAUCCGAAGGAAGGGCUGGGUAAGACCGGUGCCAGCCGCCGCGGUAACACCGGCAGCCCAAGUGGUAGCCACGCUUAUUGGGUCUAAAGCGUCCGUAGCCGGCCAAGUAAGUUCUUUGGGAAAUUUGACCGCUUAACGGUCAAGCUAUCAGGGAAUACUGCUUGGCUUGGGACCGGGAGAGGUCAGAGGUACUCCAAGGGUAGGGGUGAAAUCCGUUAAUCCUUGGGGGACCACCGGUAGCGAAGGCGUCUGACCAGACCGGGUCCGACGGUGAGGGACGAAGGCUAGGGUCGCGAACCGGAUUAGAUACCCGGGUAGUCCUAGCUGUAAACGAUGCGGGCCAGGUGUUGGCAUUACUGCGAGUGAUGCCAGUGCCGAAGGGAAGCCGUUAAGCCCGCCAUCUGGGGAGUACGGUCGCAAGGCUGAAACUUAA
rnacentral:rRNA from 1 species